rnacentral:rRNA from 1 species
AUGAACGCUGGCGGCGUGCCUAAUACAUGCAAGUCGAACGCUUCACUUCGGUGAAGAGUGGCGAACGGGUGUGUAAUACAUAAGUAACCUGGCAUCUACAGGGGGAUAACUGAUGGAAACGUCAGCUAAGACCGCAUAGGUGUAGAGAUCGCAUGAACUCUAUAUGAAAAGUGCUACGGGACUGGUAGAUGAUGGACUUAUGGCGCAUUAGCUUGUUGGUAGGGUAACGGCCUACCAAGGCGACGAUGCGUAGCCGACCUGAGAGGGUGACCGGCCACACUGGGACUGAGACACGGCCCAGACUCCUACGGGAGGCAGCAGUAGGGAAUUUUCGGCAAUGGGGGAAACCCUGACCGAGCAACGCCGCGUGAAGGAAGAAGUAAUUCGUUAUGUAAACUUCUGUCAUAGAGGAAGAACGGUGGAUAUAGGGAAUGAUAUCCAAGUGACGGUACUCUAUAAGAAAGCCACGGCUAACUACGUG